GGCCCAGACUCCUACGGGAGGCAGCAGUGGGGAAUCUUCCGCAAUGGGCGAAAGCCUGACGGAGCAACGCCGCGUGAUCGAAUGAAGGCCUUCGGGUUGUAAAGAUCUGUUGACAGGGACGAAUAAGCAAUGCGAAUAGUUUUGUGUAUGACGGUACCUGUUUAGAAAGCUCCGGCUAACUACGUGCCAGCAGCCGCGGUAAUACGUAGGGAGCAAGCGUUGUCCGGAAUUACUGGGCGUAAAGGGCGCGGAGGGGGGCGCUUAAGUCAGGUGGGAAAACUCCGGGCUCAACCCGGAGACUGCACUUGAAACUGGGUGUCUUGAGGGCAGGAGAGGAAAGUGGAAUUCCGAGUGUAGCGGUGAAAUGCGUAGAUAUUAGGAGGAACACCAGUGGCGAAGGCGGCUUUCUGGACUGUAACUGACGCUGAGGCGCGAAAGCGUGGGGAGCGAACGGGAUUAGAUACCCGUGUA
rnacentral:rRNA from 1 species